rnacentral:rRNA from 1 species
GUACAAAAGACCCUCCGAGUGAUUAAAACUUAGGCCUACUAGCCAAAGUGUAAUAUCACUUAUUGAUCCAAACUCUUGAUCAACGGAACA